rnacentral:rRNA from 1 species
UACGGGGGGGGUAAGCGUCGUUCGGAAUUACUGGGCGUAAAGGGCUCGUAGGCGGCCAACUAAGUCGGACGUGAAAUCCCCAGGCUCAACCUGGGAACUGCGUCCGAUACUGGAUGGCUUGAAUCCGGGAGAGGGAUGCAGAAUUCCAGGUGUAGCGGUGAAAUGCGUAGAUAUCUGGAGGAAUACCGGUGGCGAAGGCGGCAUCCUGGACCGGCAUUGACGCUGAGGAGCGAAAGCCAGGGGAGCAAACGGG